AUUGAACGCUGGCGGCAUGCCUUACACAUGCAAGUCGAACGGUAACGGGCCUUCGGGUGCCGGCGCGUGGCGAACGGGUGAGUAAUACAUCGGAACGUGCCCGACCGUGGGGGAUAACGAGGCGAAAGCUUUGCUAAUACCGCAUACGAUCUACGGAUGAGAGCCGGGGACCGCAAGGCCUUGCGCGGACGGAGCGGCCGAUGGCAGCGUAGGUAGUUGGUGGGAUAAAAGCUUACCAAGCCGACGAUCUGUAGCUGGUCUGAGAGGGUGAUCAGCCGCAUUGGGACUGAAACACGGCCCAGACUCCUGCGGGACGCAGCAGUGGGGAAUUUUGGACAAUGGGCGCAAGCCUGAUCCAGCCAUGCCGCGUGCAGGAUGAAGGCCUUCGGGUUGUAAACUGCUUUUGUACGGAACGAAAAGCCUUCUUUUAAUACAGGAGGGUCAUGACGGUACCGUAAGAAUAAGCACCGGCUAACUACGCG
rnacentral:rRNA from 1 species